rnacentral:rRNA from 1 species
AUUGAACGCUGGCGGCAUGCUUUACACAUGCAAGUCGAACGAGUGGCGAACGGGUGAGUAUUAUAUCGGAACGUACCGAGUAAUGGGGGAUACCCAAUCGAACGAUUGGCUAAUACCGCAUAUUAUUCGAGCGGCCGAUAACUGAUUAGCUGGUUGGUGGGGUAAAGGCCUACCAAGGCGACGAUCAGUAGCGGGUCUGAGAGGACGAUCCGCCACACUGGAACUGAGACACGGCCCAGACUCCUACGGGAGGCAGCAGUGGGGAAUUUUGGACAAUGGGGGCAAGCCUGAUGCAGCCAUGCCGCGUGGAUGAAGAAGGCCUUCGGGUUGUAAAGUACUUUUGUUGGGGAAGCGGUACCUAAAGAAUAAGCACCGGCUAACUACGUGCCAGCAGCCGCGGUAAUUC